CGCUGCUGCGUGUUGUCUGUUUAAAACUUGGGCUUCACCCGGAAGUUGGAGCAUAACAUUGUGCGUGCAUGUAAAAACAAACAAUACAGAAUAGUUGAAAUAAGUGUAUCUUCUGUGUUUGGCAGCAGAGUGCAGGAGCUAGUUCACCAUGAGAGGAACAGCUAAAGGAAAGGUGGUGACGUCAGGGAGGCUGACCGGAGGAGGCAGAGUGCAGCACUCCAGGAGACGCACUCCCUCAAACCCAGGAGCAGCAGUCUGCGCUGAGCCAGCAUAUUCCCUAUACUCCACAGACUCUGAGGACCAGGUCACCACUCUGCACCGGGGGCUGGACCGCUGUGCUGCCUUGCUCGGGGGCAUGCUUCAGGCUGAGAAGGCAGG